UUCGAUUAGAGUUUGAUCCUGGCUCAGAUUGAACGCUGGCGGCAGGCUUAACACAUGCAAGUCGAGCGGUAGCACAGGGGAGCUUGCUCCCUGGGUGACGAGCGGCGGACGGGUGAGUAAUGUCUGGGAAACUGCCUGAUGGAGGGGGAUAACUACUGGAAACGGUAGCUAAUACCGCAUAACGUCGCAAGACCAAAGAGGGGGACCUUCGGGCCUCUUGCCAUCAGAUGUGCCCAGAUGGGAUUAGCUAGUAGGUGGGGUAAUGGCUCACCUAGGCGACGAUCCCUAGCUGGUCUGAGAGGAUGACCAGCCACACUGGAACUGAGACACGGUCCAGACUCCUACGGGAGGCAGCAGUGGGGAAUAUUGGACAAUGGGCGCAAGCCUGAUGCAGCCGUGCCGCGUGUGUGAAGAAAGCCUUCGCGUUGUGAAGCACUUUCAUCGAGGAGGAAGGUGGUAAGCUUAGGACGCUGGUCGGUCGACCGAGCGUCCGAAGGAGUCGGGGUUGCAUUGCGUAGAGGGGGCGCGGUGAAUAGGGGGGUGUGGGAGGGGGGGUUAGAAGUUGGCUUAAGGAGGGGUGUGCACGGCGGGGUGUUAACGCCCGAUUUUAGGGCGGGGGGUUACCCGCGGCGUGUGGGGUUUGAAUGGGUGGCGGGGGGCAGCAUCUGGAGGUGUGGGGGGGGGCGGGGGUAUCGUUCGGUAGGCGUCGCGCUUCCGGAGGUGCCUAGUUGUCCGCGUUUCCCGGUGGAUGGGGGUGAGUUAGCGUGAGGGCGGGGGUGAGCGCCUGUGGCCCGGCGCGGU
rnacentral:rRNA from 1 species